UCCGUAGGUGAACCUGCGGAAGGAUCAUUACCUUUCAGUACAGAAGCGUUGUGUUGGUUGAGUUGUGCUGGUUGAGUCUCGCUGAGAGGUGGGACUCCUGGUGGCAACUCCCUUCAUAAUUCUCCCUGUCUAUCAUCCUUGUCUUUUGCGUACUAUUGUUUCCUCGGUGGGCUUGCCUGCCGGUUGGACAACCUUAUAACCUAUUUAAUUUUCAAUCAGCGUCUGAAAUAAUAUAAUAAUUACAACUUUCAACAACGGAUCUCUUGGUUCUGGCAUCGAUGAAGAACGCAGCGAAAUGCGAUAAGUAGUGUGAAUUGCAGAAUUCAGUGAAUCAUCGAAUCUUUGAACGCACAUUGCGCCCCUUGGUAUUCCAUGGGGCAUGCCUGUUCGAGCGUCAUUAUCACCCCUCAAGCCUAGCUUGGUGUUGAGACCUGCUGUCAAGGCAGUCUCUAAAAUCAGUGGCAGUGCUGUCAGGCUCUAAGCGUAGUAAAUUCAUCGCUAUAGACACCUGGUGGCCACUCGCCAGAACCCCCCCAUUUUUUAAUGAUUGACCUCGGAUUAGGUAGGGAUACCCGCUGAACUUAAGCAUAUCAAUAAGCGGAGGAA
rnacentral:rRNA from 1 species